CCGGUCGCCAGACCUAGGUCCAAGUCCCGCCCUCCUUGCGCCCCAGUCUUCCGCAGGCGCACCUCUGCCCCCUCAGCACGCGCCACCUCCUGCGGCCUCUUCGGCGCCAGCUGCCGGGUGGUGCCGGAGGGCGCCGGGGUCCUGCGGUGCUGCCAGCCCCGCCUCGUCCGCCCCCCGCUGCCGCCUAGGGCGAGAGGUAGCCAGCCUGAGCCUGCAGCGCUCAGACACCAAACCCGUCCUUAUCCCCAGGGACCCGUGCGCGGUGUACUGCAGGGAAUCCCACUGUUGGGCGGGUUGCGAAGGUGGAUUAACGGGGGCAUUUCUAGUUUACAGCGUGACUCGCGCGGAGGAAAUGCGGUGCGGAGACCCCUUGGUGACUGGGUGCCUGUAUCUUUCUUAAAAGGACAGAAACUCCGUUUCAGCACUGGUGUGUCAGAUAUUCGGAGGAGUCUUUAUGCUAAUGGGGAUAUUAGCAAUCCAGACGACGGAUGUGGCCAGGAUAGGUGGCUGGUGCCCUGCCCUACACCAAUCCAAGUGCCAGGCUAAGGAGAGCCCAUCAAAUGUUAACGUCAGUCCCCUGCUGCGUGCCAGACCCCAGGGCAGGAGCCUGGGUCAGAAGAAUUGCUUUGGAAGUCAUCAGUGCUCAGUGAGGGUCUGAAGCAAAACCAUCGGUCAUCGCUGACACCUUCUUUCAUUCCUACUCCAUCCUUCCCAUCAGCAAGGAAUACGCAGAGUCCUACCACCUCCCACACCUCAGCUGUGUCCACCUGUCCUUUGUCUGUUGCCUGGAUCGUGGAAGGUGUCUCUUACCCAUUUCCCUGCUUCUGUCUCAGUUGCCGGUGAUCCUGUUAAAAAGAAUCUAUUUAUGGCUCUCUGCUUGAACCCCCCCUUCAAGUCCCCAUUUCCCUAAUAGCACAUGUCCACAUCCUCACGGUGGCUCAUCAGGCCUUACGUGCUCUAGUCCCCUUAAAUUCCUGGCCCCAUUGUCUCCUGUCUUCUCCCCUGCUCUAGCCAGGCCGUCUCUUCCUGUUCCCUGCACACUGUGGCAGUCUGGGGCCUUUGCACGACGUCUCCUCGCCUGGAAUGCUUCCCCGCAGCUGUCUCCGUGACUCACCCUUCAGUCCCUUCAGGUCUUAUUUCGUUCGGCGUCCCUGCUCGGAGAGGCCUCGCCUGGGCAACAAACCCAGAAGUGUUGUCCCCACUCAACAAUUAGUCUCCCUCAGCCCAUUUCACACACAACCUAUUUUACUUACUUUCCCUGUGUAUUCUUUGUCUUGCCCCUCGAUAGGAAAGGGAUCUUUCCUCUUUGUUGACUGCCCAAGUCCAGCGUCCAGAACAGUGGCGGACCCCUAGGGAGUGACCGUGAGUGUGAGUGGCUGGAUCACGAAGGGCAGGAGGGCAGAAGGCUGGAGCUUGACCUUUCUGUCCACCUCAGAACCGGUGCUAGUGGCAGUUCACUGUGGUCUGGAGGUGGGAGCGUGUCAGACUUGCUGUGUUCCCAGACGGUGUCCCAAACAGAGAAGGCAGAGUGAGAUUGUUCCCCAUCUUCCCGGCAUCCAGAGAGGGUCCCAGGAGGGCUGUGGCAUCCAGGUAGCCUCUUCCCCACAAGUCCCAGUCACCCUGGCCUGCAGGCUGUCCCUGGUGUCUCGGAGACAGCUGUUGUUCUCCUCGACUCAGGUACAGCUAAUCUUCGGAAUCUCAGUGCUGGCCGGAAGAUAAUCCCCUGUAUCUAGAUUAAAGGCUGUGUUUUGACCAUUACAGCGCAUCCAGCAUCCAGCCGACAGUUUAAUUGAGCUGUUUAUGCCGCUGCCUUGAUCUCUUCCCAGAGAAUUUACAACUAAUUCCGAGUGUCUCUGUGAAUUAAGUGGGCCUCUCCCAACAUGCUUUGCCUGUCGUGUGCCUGUGCCAAAUCCCACUUGUCCUUGUGUUACCCAAUUAUAGCCUCUCUCUCGCAGUCGUCUCUGGCUGAUACCACUUCCAGCCCGCUUCCUCCCUGAGGUGGCCCUAAGGAUCCGGCCCCGAGAAUGGCCAUCCCCCAGGACAGCCUCCGUGAUGCCUGCGGCAGCAGAAAGGUGAGUCCAAUGUGGAGCCAAGCUUGAAAACCACUGGCCUGGAGCAGCAGCUCUUAAAAGUGAGAUCCCUAGGACAGAGCAUCAACUUCCCCGGAAAAUCAAAUUGUUCUUUUCAUUUUCAGUCCUUCGGAACCAGAAACUGGGGGCUGCAGCUCAGCCAGCCCUGCAGGUGAUUCUGCUGUAGCUCAAGUCCAAGAGAGCCAGUCUGAAAGUCCCUUUGAUGACAACAGGGCUCUGUCCUUUGGGGCCUGAUCUGCAAACUGGUGCUAGGAAAGCAAAUUAGCUGAAUUGCUUUGCAGUGAUGCAUCUUAAUGGCCAAACUGCCUGUCCUCUGGCGGUGGCAGUGUAAAUUAUGGAGGCGGCAAAUGCUGAGUACAGUGGCUUUUUCAGUCCCCCACACAUCAAUCCGACGUUUGAAGCAGUCUUGAAGGCCACGAUGGGCACCUGGAGCUUAUUGGCCAUAGAACAAGUUAGGCCAGAAAAGCCGGACACGGAGCACAGGGGUCUGAGGGCAUCAAGUUCCCUCAGGUCAGGCAUCCCGAGGAGGGAAGGGCCCAGCAGAAGGGGCUUGACGCCUGUGGGCAAGGAGGAAAUGGAAAGUGUGGCAGAAAGGAAACAGGGUCAGGGGGGCAGUAGGUUAGCCCAGGUCCUGGGGCUCGGGCAGUGAGAAUCAGGGGUGUCUCCAGGGCUGGCUAGGUGAAGGGAAUCAGCCACUGCUCCCGUGGGGAGCCAGGCCCAGGGCAGGCUCUACAGACUGGAGGGGGCGGGUGUCAGAGGCAGAGAAGGAAGGCUGUGCUUGUUUAGUUUUGCUUUGUUUUGUAUGGAAAAGCAAGUGGAGGUCAAGAGCAGAGCUGCGUCUCUCUGCAGCCGAGGAGGGUUGCAGUACUGGCCCACAAGCACUGUCAGGUUUUCUUCUGUGGGCGUCUCACAGUCACAGGUUGGCUGGCUUCUGUGUCUGGGACGUGAGACUCUUCUGUCCUUGAGAGACGUCUGGAGGGCAGGCGGUAGGGGCUGUGCGUUAUUCACUUCUGUCCACGUCCGGGAUUCACUCAGUUCCUGCCAAAUGCUGGGCCCUGAGUGACAGACUGUGUGUGGACUUGAAUCCAGGACAGAUAUGACAGAUCAUGGCUCCUAAAUAUGACUUACCGCCUCAGGCCUUAACGAACCACCGCAGCGAGAGCCCAGAGACGUUCCCCAUGCAGAAGGGCCCCUCUCACCCUGUAGAAUCAUUGCAGACUCUUUCUUUGCUGCCUCCCUUCCCUCUUCCUUACACCAAGCCCUUCUCCCAUCAGCCUGGCCCAGCUCCCUCCUGGGGGCUGUGCACACUGUAGGGAAUGAUCAGAAAAGAAGGGAUUAAGGCAGCAAACAUCAACACCCAGGAGAUUCCCCUUAUCUGAGUUCCACUGUGAAUGACUGUGUGCUGGUGUGUACAACCACGAAUCCGAAGAGUUUAAUCCCGGUUCAUCUCUGAAAAGGUGAAGUAUUGCUUUAAGGCCAACAGUUGGGAAAAUGAUUUGUUUCUUCAAUGUUAAACCACACACACACACACACACACACACACUCACAUACAUACAAAUGCUCUUCUGAUGAUGCAAUUUCCAUCCCUCCACUUUGGCUGUAAUAUUUAAAGACAAGUUUUAAAAGUCACUUUCCGUGCAUAAUUUUCUUCUGAUGCACUACUUUGUCUCUUUCUUGUUCUUGAAUUAAAAUGGUUACCGUGCUUCCAUUGGAGGCUUUUCUAAGUGGGAAGCACUGGCCGAAGCCAGAGCCAGGGAAGAGUUAACAUUGCAA